rnacentral:rRNA from 1 species
GAUGAACGCUGGCGGCGUGCUUAACACAUGCAAGUCGAACGGUGAAGCCAAGCUUGCUUGGUGGAUCAGUGGCGAACGGGUGAGUAACACGUGAGCAACCUGCCAUGGACUCUGGGAUAAGCGCUGGAAACGGCGUCUAAUACUGGAACUGAGACUCUUCCGCAUGGUGGGGGUUGGAAAGAUUAUUUGGUCUGGGAUGGACUCGCGGCCUAUCAGCUUGUUGGUGAGGUAAUGGCUCACCAAGGCGUCGACGGGUAGCCGGCCUGGGAGGGUGACCGGCCACACUGGGACUGAGACACGGCCCAGACUCCUACGGGAGGCAGCAGUGGGGAAUAUUGCACAAUGGGCGAAAGCCUGAUGCAGCAACGCCGCGUGAGGGAUGACGGCCUUCGGGUUGUAAACCUCUGUUAGCGGGGAAGAAGCGAAAGUGACGGUACCUGCAGAAAAAGCGCCGGCUAACUACGUG